rnacentral:rRNA from 1 species
AUUGAACGCUGGCGGCAUGCUUUACACAUGCAAGUCGAGCGGCAGCGCGGGGGCAACCCUGGCGGCGAGCGGCGAACGGGUGAGUAAUACAUCGGAACGUGUCCCGUAGUGGGGGAUAGCCCGGCGAAAGCCGGAUUAAUACCGCAUAUGCUCUACGGAGGAAAGUGGGGGACUCGCAAGGGCCUCACGCUAUGGGAGCGGCCGAUGUCCGAUUAGCUUGUUGGCGGGGUAANGGCCCACCAAGGCGACGAUCGGUAGCUGGUCUGAGAGGAUGAUCAGCCACACUGGGACUGAGACACGGCCCAGACUCCUACGGGAGGCAGCAGUGGGGAAUUUGGACAAUGGGGGAAACCCUGAUCCAGCCAUGCCGCGUGCGGGAAGAAGGCCU